rnacentral:tRNA from 1 species
AGCCUAGUGGAUAUGGCAUCUGCCCGGUAAGCGGAACCCUGUGGGUUCGAUUCCCAU